rnacentral:rRNA from 1 species
ACAGGGAUUGCCUUAGUAACGGCGAGUGAAGCGGCAAUAGCUCAAAUUUGAAAGCUGGCCCUUUCAGGGUCCGCGUUGUAAUUUGUAGAGGAUGAUUCGGCGAGGGCUCCCGCCUAAGUCCCCUGGAACGGGGCGUCAUAGAGGGUGAGAAUCCCGUAUGCGGUGGGCUGCCUUAGCCAUGUGAAUCUCCUUCGACGAGUCGAGUUGUUUGGGAAUGCAGCUCUAAAUGGGAGGUAAAUUUCUUCUAAAGCUAAAUACCGGCCAGAGACCGAUAGCGCACAAGUAGAGUGAUCGAAAGAUGAAAAGCACUUUGGAAAGAGAGUUAAAAAGUACGUGAAAUUGUUGAAAGGGAAGCGCUUGCAACCAGACUUGUCCGCAGUUGCUCAGCCGGUCUCCUGACCGGCGUACUCUUCUGCGGCCAGGCCAGCAUCAGUUCGGGCGGUCGGAUAAAGACCUCGGGAAUGUAGCUCCUCUCGGGGAGUGUUAUAGCCCGGGGUGGAAUGCGGCCAGCCUGGACUGAGGAUCUCGCUUCGGCAAGGAUGCUGGCGUAAUGGUUGUAAGCGGCCCGUCUUGAAACACGGACCAAGGAGUCUAACAUCUAUGCAGUGUUUGGGUGUCAAACCCAUACGCGUAAUGAAAGUGAACGGAGGUGGGAACCCGCAAGGGCGCACCAUCGGCCGAUCCUGAUGUCUUCGGAUGGAUUUGAGCAAGAGCAUAGCUGUUGGGACCCGAAAGAUGGUGAACUAUGCCUGAAUAGGGUGAAGCCAGAGGAAACUCUGGUGGAGGCUCGCAGCGGUUCUGACGUGCAAAUCGAUCGUCAAAUUUGGGUAUAGGG